GGAAGGUGCAAGCGUUAAUCGGAAUUACUGGGGCGUAAAGCGCGCGUAGGCGGCUAGAUAAGUCGGGUGUGAAAGCCCUGGGCUCAACCUGGGGAACUGCAUUCGAUACUGUCUGGCUAGAGUGUGAUAGAGGGAGGCGGAAUUCCACAUGUAGCGGUGAAAUGCGUAGAGAUGUGGAGGAACACCAAUGGCGAAGGCAGCCUCCUGGAUCAACACUGACGCUGAGGUGCGAAAGCGUGGGGAGCAAACAGGAUUAGAUACCCAGGUAGUCCACGCUGUAAACGAUGUCAACUAGCCGUUGGGAGCAUUUUGGCUCUUGGUGGCGUAGCUAACGCGAUAAGUUGACCGCCUGGGGAGUACGGUCGCAAGAUUA
rnacentral:rRNA from 1 species